GAGAGGCUGUUUCUACAGGUGUCAUAAAAAAUCAAUACUGUGCCACGGAUUAUUGGAUCCCAUAGAACCAUGGAGACUUUGUGCUGAAAUUCUUCCAAAGGCAGACGGUGUUCCUAGGUUUGGGAGGAUAAAUCCCGGGGGAAGUAAGCUGAAGAACAUUUUAUGCAUCACUCAUUCUAUUACGAGCCCUCUGCUGUUCCAUCUCUACAAGACUGGCUGAAACAACAACAACAAUCUUACAAUUUAUACUCUAAUUUUGGAUCAUCUAGUUAAUACUUUAAUGCUGAUUAUCUUGAAAAACAAUGUCCUAUAAGAAAGGCUAUUUGAAUGCUGCUACUGCGUCAGUAAUAAAAUAGCUGGGAGAAGGAAACAUGCGGGAGGUACCAUCUGAUGAGUUGGCAGCUGAAGAACAGAAACAGAGCAGUAAGGCUGCAUGGCUCCAUUUUCCAGUGCCACCAACUGCGAGUUAAGCUGACUAACAUUGUGAAAGCCGGGUCCAUUUCGGUCACA